rnacentral:rRNA from 1 species
GACGAACGCUGGCGGCGUGCUUAACACACGCAAGUCGAACGGAAAGGCCCUGCUUUUGUGGGGUGCUCGAGUGGCGAACGGGUGAGUAACACGUGAGUAACCUGCCCUUGACUUUGGGAUAACUUCAGGAAACUGGGGCUAAUACCGGAUAGGAGCUCCUGCUGCAUGGUGGGGGUUGGAAAGUUUCGGCGGUUGGGGAUGGACUCGCGGCUUAUCAGCUUGUUGGUGGGGUAGUGGCUUACCAAGGCUUUGACGGGUAGCCGGCCUGAGAGGGUGACCGGCCACAUUGGGACUGAGAUACGGCCCAGACUCCUACGGGAGGCAGCAGUGGGGAAUAUUGCACAAUGGGCGGAAGCCUAAUGCAGCAACGCCGCGUGCGGGAUGACGGCCUUCGGGUUGUAAACCGCUUUCGCCUGUGACGAAGCGUGAGUGACGGUAAUGGGUAAAGAAGCACCGGCUAACUACGUG